UACGUAGGCAGCGAGCGUUGUUCGGAAUUACUGGGCGUAAAGAGUGUGUAGGCGGUGCUCUAAGUUCGGUGUGAAAUCUCCUGGCUCAACUGGGAGGGUGCGCCGGAAACUGGAGUGCUUGAGCGUGGGAGAGGAAAGCGGAAUUCAUGGUGUAGCGGUGAAAUGCGUAGAUAUCAGGAGGAACACCAGUGGCGAAGGCGACUACCUGGCCUGUUCUUGACGCUGAGGCGCGAAAGCUAGGGGAGCAAACGGG
rnacentral:rRNA from 1 species